GAUGAAGAACGUAGCGAGAUGCGAUACUUGGUGUGAAUUGCAGAAUCCCGUGAACCAUCGAGUCUUUGAACGCAAGUUGCGCCCGAAGCCAUCAGGUUGAGGGCACGUCUGCCUGGGCGUCACAUAUCGUUGCUCGAUGCCUAUCGCAUUGCGAUAGGACUUAGGGCGAAUGAUGGCUUCCCGUGAGCGUUGUUGCCUCGCGGUUGGUUGAAAAUCGAGUCCUUGGUAGGGUGUGCCAUGAUAGAUGGUGGUCGAGUUAGAACGAGACCGAUCAUGUGCAUGCUCCCCAAAAUAUGGCCUCUGUGACCCACACGCGUCUUUUGACGCUCAUGACGAGACCUCAGGUCAGGCGGGGCUACCCGCUGAAUUUAAGCAUAUCAAUAAGCGGAGGA
rnacentral:misc_RNA from 1 species